GGCGGGUCCCUGGCUCGGCUCUACCCCCAUGGAUCUAGGUGGGCUCAAUGUCAUCACAAGGGUGCUUAAGAGGGAAAGAGGAAGCCAUGAGGGUCAGAGUCAAAGGAAGACUUGAAGAUACUACACUGCGGACUUUAAAGAUGAAGGAAGGGGCGAAAACCAAGAAUGUGGGAAGCCUCUAGAAGCUAGAGAAGGCAAGGAAACAAAUUUUCCACUAGAGCCUCCAGAAGGAACACAGCCCUGCUGACCCACUGUAAUGUCUGACCUCUAGAUGUGUAAGGGUAGUAAGACUGAAAGUCUCAGAAAGGCACUGUUAAAUUCUUAUUCCUCAACUAUGCAACUCAAAACUGGGGUCCUCAGCAGUGAGCGAGGGGUGAGAGAAGACACUGUAUAAACAUGGCACAUCCUCCUGGAAAGUCAACUUUACUCAAAGGUUCUUACACACAGUGACAGCUAGCAGAGUCUAAAAUGCUGACAUUAUGACUUAGAGAUGUGAUAAAGAGAAACAUCUAUUGCAUUUUCUACAACAGCAGCAACUACAAAAAGAGACAAUAUCUAUUCAGCACCUACUGUGUUCCAGGCACACUAUAUGAAUUACUUUGUUUAAUUUGCAAGCAAUUUUGUGAGCUUAAGUGGCCCUUACUCCCUGGUUGGCUAAAUGUUACGAACUGAAGGUGGGUCCACCUAUCCUGUGCAGCAAAGCCAAACACUGACAUUGAGAUGGCAGCGAGAGAAAGAGUGAGGCAUUUGUUGCAGGGUGCCAACCAAGGAGAAUCAGGCAGCUGAUGCUGAACUCUUGAACUUCUUGACAGGUUACAGUUUCUGUGGUCAUGAGUCCAGCAUGACUGAGCUGAGCUUUCUGCCUCAGGGUCUCUCACAAGUCAACGUUCAAGUCAGAUUUUCUAGUUAACACAUCAAAAGUGUAUCUGUGUACAUGAAGUACGAAGAAAACAGUUCAAAGAGGACAGUCAAGCCCAUGCAUUUGAUUGGAUGCAGGUUUUUACAUUCAAUUCACGUCAAAGUUUGGUUUCUUCUCGCCAUACCAUGAUGGCCCGCCAUGAUGACAGAAGCUGCCUGCUUCACGCAUGUACUCUGGAGUGUUGCUCUCACCUCUGCCAGCAGGAGGAGCUCUUGCACUCAUGUGAGAACUGAAGUCAGCCAUGCCUCCAUGCUCAAGCAAAUGUCCUUGGAGGUGACACUCCAAGAUUGUUUUUGACUGAGGCGACUAAACCUGAAUUGGCAGUGAAAUAUUAAAAACGCAGGA
ensembl:lncRNA SAMMSON survival associated mitochondrial melanoma specific oncogenic non-coding RNA